AAUCAAGCGUACAAGAGCAUUUUGUGGAUGCCUUGGCACUGAGAGGCGAUGAAGGACGUGAUAGGCUGCGAUAAGCCACGGGGAGAGGCCAAUAUUCUUUGAUCCGUGGAUUUCCGAAUGGGGAAACCCACCACAUUACGUGGUAUGGCGACCUGAAUACAUAGGGUCGUUCAAGCGAACCUGGGGAACUGAAACAUCUAAGUACCCAGAGGAAAGGACAUCAACCGAGACUCCGUUAGUAGUGGCGAGCGAACGCGGACUAGGCCAGUGGUCUUUUGUGAAGAACCAGAACUGUCUGGAAAGGCAGACCAGAGUGGGUGAUAGUCCCGUAUGGGUAGAAACACAAAAGAUCCUCGAGUAAGACGGGACACGUGAAAUCCUGUUUGAACAUGGGGGGACCACCCUCCAAGCCUAAGUACUCCUCAGUGACCGAUAGUGAACAAGUACCGUGAGGGAAAGGUGAAAAGCACCCCGACAAGGGGAGUGAAAUAGUAUCUGAAACAAAAUGCUUACAAGCAGUCAGAGCGGCGCUGCCGCUCAGUGGUCAGAAAUCAGUUAUCAGUCAUCAGAAAUUUACUUCGAUAGUAAGAAUUAAUUCUGAGAACUGAUAACUGAUGACUGAUUACCGAGCGACAGCGCUGUGAUGGCGUACCUCUUGUAUAAUGGGUCAGCGAGUUCGUCUUUGUAGCAAGCUUAAACCGUUAGGUGUAGGCGUAGCGAAAGCGAGUCUGAAUAGGGCGACUAAGUUACUGGGAUGAGACCCGAAACCGAGUGAUCUAAUCAUGGACAGGCUGAAGGUGAGGUAACACUCACUGGAGGGCCGAACCAUAUCCUGUUGCAAAAGGUGUGGAUGAUCUGUGAUUAGGGGUGAAAGGCCAAUCAAACUCGGAAAUAGCUGGUUCUCCGCGAAAACUAUUGAGGUAGUGCGUCGUUUGUUUACCACCGGGGGUAGAGCACUGGAUGGGCUAGGGGGGAGCGAUCCUUACCAAUCCUAACCAAACUCCGAAUACCGGUGAGUAUAGAACGGCAGACAGACGGUGGGUGCUAAGGUCCAUCGUCGAAAGGGAAACAGCCCUAACCGCCAUCUAAGGUCCCCAAGUUAUGGCUAAGUGGGAAAGGAUGUGGGAAGGCCAAGACAGCCAGGAGGUUGGCUUAGAAGCAGCCAUCCUUUAAAGAAAGCGUAAUAGCUCACUGGUCUAGUUAAGCUAGCCUGCGCCGAAAAUGUACCGGGGCUAAAGCCAUGCACCGAAGAUGCGGGUCCGUAGGACAGUAAUCAGUAAUCAGAUGUCAGUAAUCAGAAGGAAAAAAAAGAUGAAAAAAUUUGUUCACAGUGUCGAGGAGUUAGAUGUAUUUCAAAAAGCCUAUAAAGCUUCUUUGAUUGUUCAUAAGCUAACACUUACCUUUCCUCAAAUCGAGCAAUAUGCUCUUGCGGAUCAGCUUAGACGGGCAACAAAAUCUAUUUGUGCUAAUCUAGCAGAAGGGUUUGGAAAGCAAAAAGACUCCAAAAAAGAGUUCGCACGCUAUGUUUCAUUAAGCGUAGGGUCAAGUGAUGAAGUGCGUGUUUGGAUUCAAUAUGCAAGUGAUUUAAAAUAUAUCGAUAAAAAUUAUGCUGCAGAACUAAAAGAGCGCUAUAUAGAAAUUUCUAAAAUGCUGAGAGGAUUACUAGCCGCUCUUACUUAACCUUUUCUUUUUUUCUGAUUACUGAUAUCUGAUUACUGUUUUCUGCCCUACGGGCGGUAGCGGAGCGUUCCGUAAGCCUGUGAAGGUGAUCCGUAAGGAUUGCUGGAGGUAUCGGAAGCGAGAAUGCUGACAUAAGUAACGUAAAGGAGUGUGAGAGACACUCCCGCCGUAAGUCCAAGGGUUCCUGCGCAAGGGUAAUCCGCGCAGGGUUAGCCGGCCCCUAAGGCGAGGACGAAAGUCGUAGUCGAUGGGAAUCAGGUGAAUAUUCCUGAGCCAGCUGGAAGUGACGAAGGCCGAAAUGUGUUUCCUCUUAUCGGAUUGAGAGAGGCACGCUAGGACUUCCAGGAAAUAACUCCAGCAAUAGACCGUACCCGAAACCGACACUGGUGGACGAGUAGAGUAUACUCAGGCGCUUGAGAGAAUGAUGUUGAAGGAACUCGGCAAAUUGACCUCGUAACUUCGGGAGAAGAGGUACCUUUUUGAGGGCAACCUUAAAAAGGUGACACAAACUAGGGGGUAGCGACUGUUUACCUAAAACACAGGACUCUGCAAAGAUGAGAAUCGACGUAUAGGGUCUGACGCCUGCCCGGUGCUGGAAGGUUAAAAGGAGAGGUGCAAGCCUUGAAUUGAAGCCCCAGUAAACGGCGGCCGUAACUAUAACGGUCCUAAGGUAGCGAAAUUCCUUGUCGGGUAAGUUCCGACCUGCACGAAUGGCGUAACGACUUCCCCGCUGUCUCCAACAUCAACUCAGUGAAAUUGAAUUCUCCGUGAAGAUGCGGAGUACCCGUGGUCAGACGGAAAGACCCCGUGCACCUUUACUACAACUUUGCAGUGGUAUUAGGAGCAUCAUGUGUAGGAUAGGUGGGAGCCUUUGAAGCUUUGGCGCUAGCUGGAGUGGAGGCACCCUUGAAAUACCACCCUUGAUUCUCUUGAUAUCUAACCGAGAUCUGUAAUCCAGACCCGGGACCCUGCAUGGUGGGUAGUUUGACUGGGGCGGUCGCCUCCCAAAGAGUAACGGAGGCGCGCGAUGGUGAGCUCAAGCUGGUCGGAAAUCAGCUGUGGAGUGCAAUGGCAUAAGCUCGCCUGACUGCAAGAUCGACAGAUCAAGCAGAGACGAAAGUCGGUCAUAGUGAUCCGGUGGUUUCCCUGUGGAAGGGCCAUCGCUCAACGAAUAAAAGGUACGCCGGGGAUAACAGGCUGAUCUCCCCCAAGAGUCCACAUCGACGGGGAGGUUUGGCACCUCGAUGUCGGCUCAUCACAUCCUGGGGCUGAAGCAGGUCCCAAGGGUUUGGCUGUUCGCCAAUUAAAGUGGUACGUGAGCUGGGUUCAGAACGUCGUGAGACAGUUCGGUCCCUAUCUGCCAUGGGUGUUUAAGAAUUGAGAGGAUCUGUCCUUAGUACGAGAGGACCGGGAUGGACGUACCUCUGGUGUACCAGUUGUGGCGCCAGCUGCAGUGCUGGGUAGCUAUGUACGGACGGGAUAACCGCUGAAAGCAUCUAAGCGGGAAACCCACCUCAAAACUAGUUCUUGCUAAGAGCCGUGGUAGACCACCACGUUGAUAGGCCGGGUGUGGAAGAGGCGUAAGCCUUGAAGCUAACCGGUACUAAUCGCUCAAAAGGCUUGAUUCG
rnacentral:rRNA from 1 species